rnacentral:tRNA from 1 species
GAUGGAGUAGAGCAGUUGGUAGCUCGUUGGGCUCAUAACCCGAAGGUCAAUGGUUCGAGUCCAUUCUCCAUCA